rnacentral:lncRNA from 1 species
GAAAAGUGAAAAAAAAUAUAACUUUAGGUGGAUUCCAGCAAAAAAAUGAAGGAAUUGUGUAUUUUAAAAAAAGGUGUAAAAAAUAAGCGUACGGUUGAUAUUUUCCCUUAUAGUAACUUCUGAUUGAUCGAAUGUGAGAUGGUGCGCUGGAUUCACAUAAGAGUGCUGCUAUUUACCCCGGGUCAAACCCCGGGUCAAGCCCCGAAAAUUAAUAGAAACGACGCCGUUUUGUGAACUUUUGUUUUUCCUCCCAAUCAUGUAAAACGGCCCUGUUUUGUGAUUUGCAUUACAGCACUUCGAAUUUUCUUCGACUGGCUUUCUCUUUGAAUUUCUGUUUCACCACAGAACCCCAACGAUAGAACCCAACUGCAGGAUCCCUAAACUGUUAUCUUCCUUCCAAACGAUAGGAUUUGGCUUAGAUAAAGCAAAAACUUAAAUAAAGAUGAGUUUCAACAUUUGAACUUCGGAUUUAUAGUGGCUACGAAGAUUUCUUGACAGAGGAUUUGAGUAAGGCAAGGUGCUGUCAUCUUCGGCUUCCAAUUCAAUUAAAUAACAAGGAUUGAAAUUCUUGCCAAAUUCAUAGAGAAGAGAAAAUAAAAUAUAUUCACCUUGCUCGUAUUAAUAAUAGAAGAAGAAAUUAAGCAAUAAUUCACCUUGCUUGUAAUAGUCUAAUAGAUGAAAGGAGAAAUUAAGCCCUUAUUUGCCAUUUCUUCCCACAGAUUUCUUGAACUUCUGAUAGCUGCAGCUAGCCACAACAAGUAGUAGCCUAUAAUUAGAGAAGAAGAAGAAGGAAAGAAGUUCAAGAAAGCUGUGGCCGUGGCUGGGCAAACGGUGCUUUCGAUGGUGGCUGUGAAAGGGAAUAAGGAAAGAAAAAGGAAAAGAAGGAAGGAAAGAAGGUCAAGGGAUUUGAUGCCAAAGCCAAACGGUGCGUUCCAUGGCUGUGAAAGGGAAAAUGGUUUGAUGCCAAACGGUGCGUUUUGGGAUUAGUUAAACGGUGCGUUUUGUUCCGGGAUUUCAUUCGGGGCUUAAGUUGGGGCAAGUACCAUUUUCCUUCACAUAAUUAGCCUUUCUCUCCUAAUAAUCACAAAUAAUUGUUUGAUUCACAUUGUUUACAAUUUGGUGACGGCUACAAGAAAAACUAGUGCUACGAGGGUAGAGAAACCAAUCACCACCGCUGGGUUGACCUCAAUCAGAGUGCC